UACGUAGGGUGCGAGCGUUGUCCGGAAUUACUGGGCGUAAAGAGCUCGUAGGUGGUUUGUCGCGUUGUCCGUGAAAACUCACAACUCAAUUGUGGGCGUGCGGGCGAUACGGGCAGACUGGAGUACUGCAGGGGAGACUGGAAUUCCUGGUGUAGCGGUGGAAUGCGCAGAUAUCAGGAGGAACACCGGUGGCGAAGGCGGGUCUCUGGGACGGUACUGACGCUGAGACGCGAAAGCGUGGGGAGCGAACAGG
rnacentral:rRNA from 1 species